rfam:Physcomitrella patens subsp. patens PHYPAscaffold_362 genomic scaffold, whole genome shotgun sequence.
UAAGAGGCUUUUAUAAAAGCCAUGUUUAGAUACUUCAAAUUAUAAU